AAUCCUAUGAAUUCAGCAAAAUCAACCCAUAGCACUGCAUCAAACUCAUAUUUUGCUGCAAAAUUCUAUUAAUCAAUGGCUUAUCAGACUGGAUACUGAAAUAUUUUUAAUGAGCUACAAAGUAGAGUAUUGAUUUCAAUACACCUUUAAGUUUUAUCUACUAUAUUUAAAUAGAUGACCGGCCCCAGCUUUCAAGAAUUCAUCUCUGUUACACAUUUUGAGAAAAAUCCUGAAAUUAAAAAGGAACCUGGUUUCACACACAAAAGAAAGACAGGUUUCAGAGUGGUAGCCAUGUUAGUCUGUAUCAGCAAAAACAAUGAGGAGUCCUUGUGGCACCUUAGAGACUAACAAAUUUAUUUGGGCAUAAGCUUUUGUGGGCUAAAACCCACUUCAGAAAGACAGUUAUUAGUAAGGGAAACGACUUUGUCAUGGAGGUCACUGAUUCCAUUACUUUAAUGAACCUCCGUCACGGCUUCAGCCUCUGCCACGGUGGUGGGGCUGGAGAAACCGCCUGGGGCCAGAGCCCCCAUAUUUUCAGUAAAAGUCAGCAACAGGUCACGGGCUUCCGUGAAUUUUUGUUUAUUGCCCGUGACCUGUCCAUGACUUUUACUAAAAUACCCAUGACAGAAUCUGAACCUUACGUAGUAGUUACUCAACAUAACUGAUAGAAUGGAAACUCUACUGCCACUGUAAAUACGAAACAAAGGGUACAUCAACUCAAGUAGAAAUAGUUGCUAAUGGAAAAGGUUCCAACAUUUUAUUCAUGCUCUGAACAAUAUGCUAUAUACCACAACUUCAAUUAGCAAAACUUCUCAUUCCAAAAUCAGGGCCACUUUGAUUCAUGUCAUAAUUAUACUGAAAACUCCCUGCAUUAUCUUAAAUCUCAUUUAUUUGAAUGGACUCAAUGUCUCCUGUUUAGUAAUAUACCAACACUAAAGUGCCUGAACGAUACGCAUGCCCAAACCAGAGCAUCAACUAUAAAAAAGUAUCUUAAAUGAUAUCAUUUCCAUUGCAACCGCAGCCACUAAAACACACCUAUUUUAAGAGUAUUAAAGACAGAGCUCAUAGAAAUGUGGUGUUUUCUUUCUAAGGCAUUUAACCAUCUCAAGAUAAUUCAAACUAAAAUGCAGUAAGGGCCUGACUCUGCAGCACUGAAUCUGUAGACUACGAGAGUGGGCUCUAACUGUAGGAAAUUUUUAGGCAGCUGUUUCCUCUUAGUAGUUAAUUUGCAAAAUUACUAACUGGCAGUUUGUUUAAUUUUGGUUUCUCAGAAAUAGUCAUUAGUGUUAAAAGCUAAUUAAUUUGAAAUUUGACAAUACUGGGAUGGAUUGAUCUAUGCCAAACUUGGUUUGCAUUAAUAGCAGAAAAAAAAUCAAAAUAAUUCUUUUUAAUGGAACAUUUUCCCUUUUAGUUUUGUCCCAGAUGCAUGUGGUACUUAAGAUAGUAGUGCCUGUCUUUCGAAUAAACUAAACAAACAUCAGUAUAGUUCCCCUGAUAAUUAUAUGUAAUGGUUUGAUUUUUCUAAUUUAAAAAAAAAGUCACAGUUUUUAUAUUCAGAAUCUUUAAAAAUGGAUCACACAUUACAUUUGUUAACGAAAGUACACUGUCCCAACUCUCUCUCACUCUCUCUUUCACAAAAAAUAAUUAAAAUGUUUUGACUGGCAAAUCUUCUACAUCUCCCUCGAUUUCAAAAAUCUUCAAUAUACUGAUGAUAUUUCUAUAUAGCAGGAGUGAAUGAUAUGCAUUGCAAAUUUUGUAAGCAUAGUACUGUAGGGCAAUAAAGCAAUUAACCUUCGAGGCACUUAAAACUAGAGAUAAGCAUCAUGUUCUUCAGUUAUCCUCCAAUCUUAAAUUAAACACUCUACACUGAAGACAGGUUCUAUUUACUUAGUUGCAAUGCAAAUGUGUGCAGCUGACAGUAGCACUAAUAUACGACUAUUCUUAUAUCAUCAUCAACAGAUUUAAGGCCUCCAUUCAACAAAACAUUUAUUCAUUUGCUUAACUUUAGUGGGAUUAAAGCACAUUCUUAAGCACUAAAAUAUUAUACUUGAUCAACUUUAUUUUAACUAAUGACAACGUUAUAAAUUACUAUUUAUCAAACCAGAAAAUAACUAGUCACCCAUUUCAAUGGGACUAACUUGGCACCAUGAGGAGACAUUUUUCAUCAGCGCUUGUUCACGUUGUGACAGUAUCCUGUUACUAUCCUGAACAAACUUUAUGGAAUUAAGAUAAGCUUUUCUGAGUUAAAGUUAAACCUUACUAAAUUGGGGUUACCAACUUUGGGGUACAUUGUAUUAAAAUGUAACUGUGUAUGUGUUAUUGUGGCACUGUAUGAACCUUCUCUAAUAGGCAGGGGAGAUGGUAAUGAACUUCUGCCAUGAUCAGCCUUUGAAGCCACUUCAUUCCUCCCAGAAGAUAUGCACGUACACAUUCAAACUGGAUUCUCCAGAGACCAAGAGACAAAGGAAAGACUUGUGGAUGAAAUCCUAUUUUAAACUAAUUUAGGGCCUUCUUCCUGAUCCAGCAAAUGUACAGGAACUGUGGUCUAUGGAGGGCCCAAACCCUAAGGGAGGAUUGGAAGGACUUGGUCUACAGAGGCCUCAUAAGUCUGUGUGCUUGUUCUGAACUGAAGCUCCAAUUAACUUGCAAGGAUGCCCCUAAGAUGGGGUAUUAAAAGGCUGCACCUGCCAGAAUCCAUUUGAGAGUUAGGAUAAAACCUGCUAAGCUUAUUAGCAUGUGUGUAGGUUCUUUUAUUGUGUUUACUAUAUUUUCUCUGUGACGCUUUGUACCAUAAGAAUAAAGUAGGCUUGCUUUGAAAGAGCUGUGUGGUAACUUAUAACUGUAGCAGUUACACAGUUAUCCAUCUCUGAAGAGAAAGCAAGCAGGUGUUCUUGGGCAACCUGUCUGUGCUAGGAAUAACACAAUGAAGGUAGGGAACUGUGCAGCCUGGGAAUACCCCAAUCAAAAGGGAGAGGGACGUGUGUCUCCCCCCAAGAGAGGCAACAGACUGAGAGUGGGUGCCCCUGUUGAAUCACUGAGGGGGAAUCCAUGUGCAGUUGUCUUGACCUGUGACACGUAUCUCCAAUAUUUGCAUAUUGGAGUAUGCUGUCUUGGUGCUCUUUGUUCUCUGAUAUGCGCGCCUGCACAGACCCAGCACCAGCACUUUGUUGAUGUCAGCAUGGAGGAAACUACUGGCUGCUGCUGUAGUGCCGCUUUCUUUGUCUGGUGCAACUGCUGCUUGCCACUCCCACCACUGUUCUCACCAGCUCCUCAGAUUGUCUUCUAAAUGCAUAGCACAGCAUAUACCUCUGAUACUACCAGGCCAGGAGGUACCGGGGGGGUAUGUGCUCCACUGUAGUUAUUCUCCUCUCUUCACGGCCUGGCUGCCCUCAAGCACACAGAUGGAUGACCAGGUUAAUCCCUAACUAUGAAGUGCUGCCAGACUAGAUAGCCCUGUUCAACCCUACUUGGUGGUGGUUGAAAUAAUUUUUCACCACGCCACCUCACUAGUGUUGCUUUUUAAAAAAGUUUUAUUUUUAAUUUCUCUUUCCAACUCCCAUCCCAAAGAGCUUACAAAACAGCUGCUGGAGCUCUCCUAGUGAGAAUGAAAACAUGAACGUUAUUCAUGCUUGUUUUUAUGAUGUUUGUUUGCUAAACACAUUUUGAUGAAUAAAUAUUACCUCUCCAGAAUGUUCACGAGUUAGUGAAUAAAAGAGGCUGUGAAAAACAGCGUGGCAAAAGGAGAGGAAGUUCUAGACACACAAAUAUUUGCAAGUAAUUUUUUGUAUUUACUAAUAGCAUUUUGGCUUGUUUACUUUCUUGGGUAGCCUGUCCCUAGUGUUUUAGAGUUGUGACUGGAAGAAUUUGGGAUCUCAGAAAAGAAAGAGAAGAAAAGAAUUCUUCACUUUGAUGCUAGAUUGACUGAAUUGCUUCUAACUGGAGAAUUCUAGACUGCAACUGAAAAAAUAGCCAAGUGAUAGGUAGAAUUUAUUUAGGUGGAGCUCUACACUAUUAUAAUUUAAAAAUAUAAUGUUAUGCACAUGUGAAUCUUUGAAUCAAAGAAUUUCUGCAGAAAAUGAUAAUUAAGGGUUUUUUUGGGGGGAGGUUAUGUGGAGGGAAUGAAGAAAUGAAAACCAUUAACAGAAAUUUAUUUGGAACUUUCAGGGAACUUUUACUACUGAAGCCAUAUCUAAGACAUUUCAGGAACUUUUCCUCCCUCCCUCUUUCUCUCUUUACCGGGUGAUGGUAUUUGAAAAGAUGGCUUCCAAGGGCUUGACUACAGUAGACAUUUCAGCACUAAGGCAGGUACACUGUUGCAGCUGCACCAGUAUAAAGAAUGAUUUGCACAGGAGUGUAGCUUCCCUGGCUUCAAAAGCUAAGUCAGUAUAGCUACACCAGUGCAAAAAUCCCCGGUGCAGGCAAACACGAAGUAGUCACCAGGGAUUUAAAAUCUACUAUAUUUAUUCUUUGGUGAAGAGAGGGAGAUGUUUAAUCCUGUUUAGACUCAAUAUUCAUGAUAUAUGGUAUGUGUGUGAUAUCACAAUUUUAAUUUGUAUAGCAUGUAAAUAUUAAAAGAUGAAGUGAAAAUACUAAAUAUUUUCUCAUUUUAUAUUAUUAACAUUGAGUUCAAUGGAAUGACUUGAAUGCUUAAAGUUAACCAAGUGCUUAAGCAUUUUGCUGCUUUACAGACAGAGCCCCAGAACCUAAAUCCCAGUUUUACACCACUGCGAUCCACUUGGCUAUUGCCUAACCCUACAAGUGCCUAAACUCACUUGGUGCCUAAAAUUUCUGCUGUAGAAGUUCUCAAGGCACCUAAGUUUCUGUUUCUGGGCAUGUGCACUGCUGUCUCUCUCUUGGCAUGUGGGUGCCUAUCUCCUCCCUAAGGCCGAGAGCAAUCCAGGAACUGGGGUAGGAGUAUCUAAGUCACACACUGGGUUGGUGUGGUCAGAUGCCAUCCACCAGAUUGGGUCCCAUCAAAACACGGGAUGGAUGGUGCCCAUUAGGCCACUGGUUAGAGCACUCAGCUGGGAGACAGGAUUUGAAUAGGGGUCUCUCACCUCCCAGGAGAGUGGUCUAACCACUGAGCUACGGGAUAUUCUGACGUGGGGCUCUUUCCUUUUGACGCUGUUCCAUCAUGUAUAAAUAAAGCAUCACUGGAGCGGGAGAUUGGACCCUGAUGCUUCCAAGUGUGUGCCCUAGCUGCCAGGCUGCAGAGUCAUUCUCUCUGGCCCUAUGACUCUCAUACUUAAAGAGCCAUUGGGGCGGAGAGAGUGAGUGAGAAUGACUCAAUCAUUUGCCACAGUCAGAAGAAUACUGGGGGCUGUGGACAAAGCCAGGCCAUGAGUUUCCUGCACACACGCUACAGAUGCUAGUUGGUGUUUAUGACAGGAGUGCAUACACAGCUACUUCUGCAGCAGCAGCAGCAAGGAAUUUUGCUGGGCAUGUUACCCCAGCCAGAUCUCUCUCAGCCACCAUUCAGCCUGCAUGCACCCUGUUUGGGGGCUGCCAUUCCCCUUGUGUCUGUCUGUGCCACAGUAACGAGGGCAGCAUUUUGCUCUAGUGUUUUGAAUGCCAGACAAUACAUCUUUGUAAACUAUUCUCCCUUAAAAACUUUGGAAUAUAAGCUAUAUGAAUAAGACAGGCAAUACAAAGCAUCUGCUCUGACUUCCAAAACUAAAUCAAGUUUCUGGUGAAAACAAGUAGCAAUACAGAGGAAAUAUACUAAUGGACUUAUUUGCAAGACCUGUGCUCCCAUUUUAACAGGAAUCAAAUGUUUUCUAGAGUUAUGAGGAAGGUGUUUAUAAUAUACUUUGAUGGAAUAGGCAAUCAGCAUGGAGUAGCCUCUUAGAAAGGCAGACUUAUACCAAAGGAUCUGAUGGAGAAGACAUUUACAAUUAGAGUACUGUUCUCUUGCUCAUCUUCUGAAGAAGAAGAUUUCAAAACAAGCUUGUUUGUCCAGCUGGUUAAAUUUCUUUGUGCCAUUCAUCAUGAGAGAACCUCUAUCUACUGGUUAAGUUACCAAGUAUGUGUCAUUAUAAUUAGUUCCAAGAGUUGGAGAUGUCACUGAAUUCAUACCCUUCAGGACUAAAACGACAUUUCCAGCAAGUGGUGCUUUGUGCUUCUUUAUCAUUGCAUCAUAUCGCCAGGAAUAGCUCUAGUAAUAGCUGCACACAUCAAUGCUGAAAUCAGGUAGUCCUUGACCCAAGAAAAUAUGCAGGGAAAGUUUCCACAGGGAAAUGAGGGAAAGAGCAUUUUAGUAUCUAACUCAUCCAUUAUAAAUAUAAUUAAAAGUCAUAUCACACCAUUUUUCCUCUCCCAUGAUUUAAGGUGGUAAAAGAACUGGUCAUUCCAGGAUACAAAGCAUAUUGCCUUCUGUGACCCUAAAGGAAUCUCCUUUAAGUGCAAAGUGAAACAGAACAUCUCAGAGUGUGGAGAAAGAAACACUACACUAGAGGAUCGCUCAUUGAACACGAGAGACGAAAUGCUCCGACGACCAUCACUGGCGGUAAGAAGAGGCAGCGAGUCGGCAGGGCCCUAUAUGCAGCACCAUGAAGGCGUGACUCCAGGGGGCUCCAGAGCCGACCUAAUAGAUGCUGCUAGGAGAAAAACCUUCUGGCGAACUGUGCAUGUGGUGUGCACGCACCUAAUUGGAAUCAGUAUGAACAAGCACUCGAAGGAGGAGGAUAUGGUGUGGUUAAGAAUCCUAGGACCAGAAGGCCUUUGAAAGUGAUGGAUGCAUUUAUAAUCAAGCAAUUCAUCAGUGUCUCAAGGAAGAACCUCAAGCUUCAACACACUUCCUCAAGUCAAAGGGAAGCCUGGAUGUGUGCUUUAGUGAAAAUGAUGUUCACCCUACAACAUGGGAAGGAGUUCUUUAGCUAUGGAAUAUAUAACUUUUUUAAAAAAAAAAGCAUCUCAGAAUGUGGCCAAGCAGACAAAAAGAAAAACCGAAACAAAACAUAUUUAGGGCUGAGUUACAGAUAAAACUUUUCAGCUGCAAAAUCAACAUUAAAAGCAACUACAAAAAACUCAGAGAGAACAGUAUUUUUGUUUUGUUUGUUUAGGGACGUACAGUCUUAUUAAUUUAUUACCAACUUGUUUGAGAGUUAUAACAAUAGUUUCUGUGUAAAAGAGAAUUCAAAAGCUUUCCAAUCUGCAAAUAGUUGCUUUGAGAAGAAAAUUUGACAAGAAUGCAUACAAAUACUCAGAUUCUCAACUGUAGAGAAAAUAAAUGGAAAAAGGCCUAGAUUCAGACAUAGAACUAGGCCUUUUUCCACUUAUUUGCUCUAUGUCGGUUCUCUAAAUAUUUAGACGGUAAUUGGACAAUUAUUGCUGGUGUUUUCCAGCAUGAGUUGCAAGUACACCUCUACCUCAAUAUAACGCUACUUGAUAUAACACGAAUUUGGAUAUAACCCGAAUUUGGAUAUAACAUGGUAAAGCAGUGC